UCUUGAAUUCUUUGAAACCUUUUGCAAAGUAUUCGGACUUGUGUUUAUUCAAAAUAAAUGAUAGUCCAACUGAGAGUGAUCUUCGGUGAAUGUCGUACAACAUGAGUAGUAUUAUGUUGUGCACAAGUGCCACCAACAUCUAAGUGAAUUAACCUCAACAACUUUGUGAUUCUUUCUUCCUUUCCAAAAGAAUAAAGAUUCAAACAUUUUGCCUCUAUACAAUUUUAACAAGAAGGCAUUGGAUCCGGAUCUAACAAUCCAAAGCAUCCAUCUAUGACCAACUAAUAAUUUAUGUUUUAGAGGUAUCACAACUCAGUUGGGAUUAGUCACUACCUUGCAACCUUUUGGGUUUUAAGCAUCAUUAUAUUCUAAACAGUUAACACUACCAUAUCAUCUCUACUAUAGAGAUAAUCAAUUAGAUUACAAUAAUCUAAUCAUUCAUUAAUAAAGAACAAUGUUUUGUCAAACAAAACAUUCAUCCAUCUCUCAUAGUGACGGAAUUAAGUUCCUUAAAAUUGGAAUGUAAAGACAAUCUUUGGUUUUUCUAAUUUCUUUGGUAGUUCAUAUGAGGAAGUAAGUACGAUCUACUUUCGCAGAGAUCUACAUUUGAUUCACAUUCCAAAUGUGAAGUACUUUCUCUUCUCUCAUUAAUCUUCUACUUCUUAUUAGCCACACUUUUACAACGAUUGUAAAACAUAGUUACUAAUACGGAAUCAAGCAUUCAAGUAGAAGAACCAACUGUUUUGAACUUUUCAAGAACAAUUUACAACACCUUCGAAAGGUAUGUUCUUGACACUUGCAAGACAUUUCUUGCAAAUACCCCUUCCAAUGUCCAUCAUUUCAUAAAGAAAGUUUGUUCCCUUGGAGUUAUUUCCUCUUCUUCAUUUAACUUCUCCCUUGACUACAAUAGUCAUGGUCCCUAAACUCCCACUAUCUCUUUUGAAACUUAUUUCAAUUGUGUUAUACACAUUAAAUGAUUUGGAGAGCAUGCGGUUAUUCUUCACCAUAUAGUUUGCAAUAAACUUAGUGAACCAUUUGGAUAGGGACUCAAAGGUGAAGUCCUUGCCUAGUUUCCAUCUCCUGAAGUGGUUUAUCACUUCAACAUUUAAUGAUUCAAAAUCAUCAUAAUUCCAUGUUAAUGGACUAUUUUUGUCAAUCAACCAUUAUGUUCUAAACAUGAUUACAAACUUUCAAGAUUUGUUUAAGGAAACUCUCGUUUCUUCAUACAACAAUUUGUAAGUGAAGAAUCAUGGCACAUAAAGUGUCCAUGCCUUUGUGCUUACUUCUCAAGCUCCUUGUUCAUUUAAUAAAGAAACAAGCACUAGUGUUUGCGUUAACUAAGGGUUGUUCACAGCAACUCUUAUUUCUUCAUCCAAUGAUUUGUAAUGGAAGAAUUAUGACACUAAAAGUGUCCUCUUUAUGAUAGACUUAUCUACUAAUGAUACAUUAUCAAUAGGAAGAUUGUAAGGAUGAGACUACUUAGGUACAUAUAUGAUGCGUAAAAUAAGUUAACACACAAAAUUAAACCCUCUUUUUAUCAAAUGUAGUAAAGUAUGUAAGUAGGGAUCGUUCUAGGCCGAGGAUUAUGAGGGAUUGCUAAACACUUGAAAACUGACUUAAAAACAUAAAAACAAAAUUUAAAACA
rnacentral:lncRNA from 1 species